rnacentral:rRNA from 1 species
UACGUAGGGUGCGAGCGUUAAUCGGAAUUACUGGGCGUAAAGCGUGCGUAGGCGGUUCGUUAAGUUCGUUGUGAAAGCCCCGGGCUCAACCUGGGAAUGGCAAUGGAAACUGGCGGGCUUGAGUAUGGCAGAGGGGGGUGGAAUUCCGCGUGUAGCAGUGAAGUGCGUAGAGAUGCGGAGGAACACCGAUGGCGAAGGCAGCCCCCUGGGCCAAUACUGACGCUCAGGCACGAAAGCGUGGGGAGCAAACAGG